GUCAGAGGCAAAUUGCCCACUGAGAGGGAGAGAGUGGUGCGUGGUGGAUGGGUACUGAGGAAAGAGGUGCAUAUUGGAUGUCCAAGACACAGCAGUGAGAGUCACCUGGGGUCACAGAAAAGAUGCACCAGAAGGAGGAAGAGCCCAGCUAGGCUGGAGAAGAUGCAUCAGCAUGGCCCCCCUGGCCCGUUUGUGGGAUUUUUCUCCAUCAGGGCUCAGCUGCCCAAGAGCAGAAGCAGAGAAGCCCCCCAGCACAUAGUUGCAUAUUCUUCGUUGUGGGUCCUUCUACUUGUGACAUGUGGGACGCUGCCUCAGCGUGGUUUGAUGAGCAGCGUCAUGUCCCCGCCCAGGAUUCGAACCAACGAAACACUACGCCGCCUGCAGCGGAGCGCGAGCGAACUUAACCACUCGGCCACGGGGCCAGCCCCCCAAAUGCUUUUGAAAGGACAGUGGCACUCUUCAGGGUGUCCCCUUGCUCCUGCUCACCUUCUAUAUGCAUGCAUGGUCCACCGCCACACCAUGCUGUGAAGUGACAAGAAUGACAGCAUUUGCAGGAAAUGUACAUUGCAACAUGACAAAGCAAGAAACACCUUUUGCAAAAAGCGUUAGAAGUUAAAGGACUGGCUGGUAAUGCCUCGGACAUCAGUUCUUAUCCUUCUGCUUUUGCAGUUGCUGAAUGUUGAAACAAGUCAGCUUGAAGUCGGGUAAUAAAUGGAUUCCAGCUUGAAUCUUGGCAGGAUUUGUUUUGCUUGAGGGAAGUUGUUUAUGCUAAGGGGUGCCCCCCCUGCAUAGUUCGAUUUAUAUUAUACAAAGUCUUGUCCAUCAUCUGGAUGCUGUUGUAAACAAUGUAAUCUUUGUCUACCAGGAAUGAGCCCAAUGCCAAUAACUUUAAAUAAACACAAGCACCAGUUUUGUAUUUACAUUGUCUGAGGCAAGCGCUGGCAGGAGUUUUUAAUGGCGCCGUCGGCCCCUCCCUGCCUAAGGUAGUGUCGGCUGUCGGGACUGACCUGAUUUGUGGAGAACUCACUCAGGGAAAGAUUUCAUACUUAGCAGAUGAGUGCGACACCCAGCCUGCAUUCUUUUGUGGGGUUUU
rnacentral:lncRNA from 1 species